rnacentral:rRNA from 1 species
AACCCUAGUCAAUAGACCCACGGCGUAAAACGUGUUUAAGGAACUUCCCUAUAAAGUCAAACCCUAGCUAUGCUGUAAAAAGCUACAGCUACUGUAAGCCCUAAUACGAAAGUAACUUUAAAAUGCCUGAAUACACGACAGCUAAGAUCCAAACUGGGAUUAGAUACCCCACUAUGCUUAGCCCUAAACCUAAAGAGCCCUCCUAACAAGGCUCUUCGCCAGAGUACUACUAGCCAAAGCUUAAAACUCAAGGGACUUGGCGGUGCUUUAUAUCCCUCUAGAGGAGCCUGUUCUAUAAUCGAUAAACCCCGAUAAACCUCACCAACCCUUGCCAACU